rnacentral:lncRNA from 1 species
AUUCAUAGCUGAAGCUCCUGAAACAAAAGACUAACAACAUUAACAAGAGAUUAACAAGAGAAAAACAUACAAAUUUUAAAAAUAUAAGUUUUACGUGACAUAGAAGCAUUUAUACAGAAAAGACGACCAGAAGAAAUGGGUAGACCUGGGUAUUUUUUAUGCUAGUUUUGAUGAAAAUGGGAAUGCUUUUGGAGAUGCACGAGUGAAUAAAAAAUAUGAUCCAAUGGUAAUAAACUAGAGGAAACAGAGCAAAGCCUGUUCAGAUUCUUCUCUGUGAUGCUUUGUCUUCAGAGCUCCUUCAGGUUGGAAGGACUACCUUUACUUGGGGGCAUGUCAAUUCGUUUUUCUCACUUCAGAUUCAUCUUUAUGACUUCUUGAGGACAGAUCUAAUUCUAAAGUAACCAGAAGCCUGACCAUCUCAGAGCAGCAAAUCCCUCAACCUUGGAGCACAAAUGAUCGCUGAUACAGUCUGCAUAAAAUCAUCUUCCUCUAUCUGACAGCCAUGAGCAGAGCCUUGGGGGUAAAAAAAAAAAAAAAAAAGCCACAGCCUUAAAUCUCUUUACUCAGAAAUUACCAUGAAGAUAAAAUAAAUAAGUGGAAAGGACUAAACAAGAAGCCAACAAAACAUAAACACCAAACCAACUCAUCUUGUUUCACUAUGGAAAUAAACUGUUCCCAGAUGUGAGACCAACAAAAUUAAUAUUAAGCAAUUAAACCAGUAAAUUAUAAACUGAUUUAUCAUUUAGGAAGGUUAAAGUAUAGAGAGAUGAGGUACCUGUAGCCAGAAUUACACAUCAUUUCAAAAUAUGUAGACAAAAAGAAAACUGAAUGAACAGAGAAACACUGCAGCAAUGCACAGUCUUAGGACAAAUGUUGCUGUUUGCAGACAGAGAAUGUUUGCCAUCUUGUGUAUAGCCUCAAAGCCAUACUGAGAUAAUAGCAUUGUUGUCAGUUGCUUGAAAAAUUUUCACAUUCAAUCCUUCACCCUAUAUUGGUUGGAAGAGGAGGGAAGUCAGUUCUUACCGAUUACUUCUCAGUGAACUUCUAAUAUUUGCACUGUCACUUCCAUUCAGGGUAAUGAUGUGUGCUGUUAUUUGCACAAAUGGUCCCAUGAGUUUUGAGACCACAGCAA